rnacentral:rRNA from 1 species
GAUGUAAGCUGCGGCAGGCUUAACACAUGCAAGUCGAACGGUAGGCAGGAAGAAGCUUGCUUCUUUUGCUGGACGAGGUGGCGGACGGGGUGGAGUAAUGCUUGGGAAUCUAGCUUAUGAGGGGGAGUAAACUACGGGAAACGUAGUAGCUAAUACCGCGUAAUAUCGAAAGAUUAAAGUAGUGGGACCUUCGGGCCACAUGCCAUAAGAUGAGCCCAAGUGGGAUUAGGUAGUUGGUGAGGUAAAGGCUCACCAAGCCGACGAUCUCUAGCUGGUCUGAGAGGAUGACCAGCCACACUGGGACUGAGACACGGCCCAGACUCCUACGGGAGGCAGCAGUGGGGAAUAUUGCGCAAUGGGGGCAACCCUGACGCAGCCAUGCCGCGUGAAUGAAGAAGGCCUUCGGGUUGUAAAGUUCUUUCGGUAGCGAGGAAGGCACUUAGUUUAAUAGACUAGGUGAUUGACGUUAACUACAGAAGAAGCACCGGCUAACUCCGUG